UACGGGGGGGGCAAGCGUUGUCCGGAAUUAUUGGGCGUAAAGAGCUCGUAGGCGGUUUGUCGCGUCUGCUGUGAAAACCUAAGGCUCAACCUUGGGCUUGCAGUGGGUACGGGCAGACUAGAGUGCGGUAGGGGUGACUGGAAUUCCUGGUGUAGCGGUGGAUUGCGCAGAUAUCAGGAGGAACACCGAUGGCGAAGGCAGGUCACUGGGCCGCAACUGACGCUGAGGAGCGAAAGCAUGGGGAGCGAACAGG
rnacentral:rRNA from 1 species